AGUGAACGCUGGCGGUAGGCCUAACACAUGCAAGUCGAACGGCAGCACAGUAAGAGCUUGCUCUUACGGGUGGCGAGUGGCGGACGGGUGAGGAAUACAUCGGAAUCUACUUUUUCGUGGGGGAUAACGUAGGGAAACUUACGCUAAUACCGCAUACGACCUACGGGUGAAAGCAGGGGAUCUUCGCACCUUGCGCGAUUGAAUGAGCCGAUGUCGGAUUAGCUAGUUGGCGGGGUAAAGGCCCACCAAGGCGACGAUCCGUAGCCGGUCUGAGAGGAUGAUCAGCCACACUGGAACGGAGACACGGUCCAGACGCCUACGGGAGGCAGCAGUGGGGAAUAUUGGACAAUGGGCGCAAGCCUGAUCCAGCCAUACCGCGUGGGUGAAGAAGGCCUUCGGGUUGUAAAGCCCUUUUGUUGGGAAAGAAAAGCAGCAGGUUAAUACCCCGCUGUUCUGACGGUACCCAAAGAAUAAGCACCGGCUAACUUCGUG
rnacentral:rRNA from 1 species